rnacentral:rRNA from 1 species
GACGAACGCUGGCGGCGUGCUUAACACAUGCAAGUCGAACGGAAAGGCCCUGCUUUUGUGGGGUGCUCGAGUGGCGAACGGGUGAGUAACGCGUGAGUAACCUGCCCUUGACUUUGGGAUAACUUCAGGAAACUGGGGCUAAUACCGGAUAGGAGCUCCUGCUGCAUGGUGGGGGUUGGAAAGUUUCGGCGGUUGGGGAUGGACUCGCGGCUUAUCAGCUUGUUGGUGGGGUAGUGGCUUACCAAGGCUUUGACGGGUAGCCGGCCUGAGAGGGUGACCGGCCACAUUGGGACUGAGAUACGGCCCAGACUCCUACGGGAGGCAGCAGUGGGGAAUAUUGCACAAUGGGCGGAAGCCUGAUGCAGCAACGCCGCGUGCGGGAUGAUGGCCUUCGGGUUGUAAACCGCUUUCGCCUGUGACGAAGCGUGAGUGACGGUAAUGGGUAAAGAAGCACCGGCUAACUACGUG